rnacentral:rRNA from 1 species
AGAGUUUGAUCCUGGCUCAGAUUGAACGCUGGCGGCGUGCCUAACACAUGCAAGUCGAGCGGUAACAGGUGUAGCAAUACAUGCUGACGAGCGGCGGACGGGUGAGCAAUAUUUGGGAAUCUGCCUAUUAGUGGGGGACAACCCGGGGAAACUCGGGCUAAUACCGCAUACGCUCUACGGAGGAAAGCCGGGGACCGCAAGGCCUGGCGCUAAUAGAUGAGCCCAAAUCGGAUUAGCUAGUUGGUGAGGUAACGGCUCACCAAGGCGACGAUCCGUAGCUGGUCUGAGAGGACGACCAGCCACACCGGAACUGAGACACGGUCCGGACUCCUACGGGAGGCAGCAGUGGGGAAUAUUGGACAAUGGGCGAAAGCCUGAUCCAGCGACGCCGCGUGGGUGAAGAAGGCCUGCGGGUUGUAAAGCCCUUUCGGUGGGGAUGAAAAGCCUCGACCUAACACGUCGGGGUCUUGACCUAACCCAAGAAAGAAGCACCGGCUAACUCUGUGCCAGCAGCCGCGGUAAUACAGAGGGUGCGAGCGUUAAUCGGAACUACUGGGCGUAAAGCGCGCGUAGGUGGCUUUGCAAGUCGAGUGUGAAAUCCCCGGGCUCAACCUGGGAACUGCAUUCGAGACUGCAUUGCUAGAGUAUGGGAGAGGGAAGUGGAAUUUCCGGUGUAGCGGUGAAAUGCGUAGAUAUCGGAAGGAACAUCAGUGGCGAAGGCGACUUCCUGGACCAAUACUGACACUCAAGUGCGAAAGCGUGGGGAGCAAACAGGAUUAGAUACCCUGGUAGUCCACGCCAUAAACGAUGAGAACUGGAUGUCGGGAGGGUCUGCCUCUCGGUGUCGUAGCUAACGCGUUAAGUUCUCCGCCUGGGGAGUACGGCCGCAAGGUUGAAACUCAAAUGAAUUGACGGGGACCCGCACAAGCGGUGGAGCAUGUGGUUUAAUUCGAUGCAACGCGAAGAACCUUACCUGGUCUUGACAUCCUAGGAAUCCUUCAGAGAUGAGGGAGUGCCUUCGGGAACCUGGAGACAGGUGCUGCAUGGCUGUCGUCAGCUCGUGUCGUGAGAUGUUGGGUUAAGUCCCGCAACGAGCGCAACCC